rnacentral:rRNA from 1 species
CAGCAGCCGCCGCGGUAAUACGGAGGGUGCAAGCGUUACUCGGAAUCACUGGGCGUAAAGGACGCGUAGGCGGAUUAUCAAGUCUCUUGUGAAAUCUAACGGCCUAACCGUUAAACUGCUUGGGAAACUGAUAAUCUAGAGUAAGGGAGAGGCAGAUGGAAUUCUUGGUGUAGGGGUAAAAUCCGUAGAUAUCAAGAAGAAUACCUAUUGCGAAGGCGAUCUGCUGAACUUAACUGACGCUAAUGCGUGAAAGCGUGGGGAGCAAACAGGAUUAGAUACCCCCGUAGUCCCUGUCUCUUAUACA